rnacentral:pre_miRNA from 2 species
UCGGGGAUCAUCAUGUCACGAGAUACCAGUGUGCACUUGUGACAGAUUGAUAACUGAAA